rnacentral:rRNA from 1 species
GAUGAACGCUAGCUACAGGCUUAACACAUGCAAGUCGAGGGGUAACGAGAGGAAAGCUUGCUUUCCUUGUCGACGACCGGCGCACGGGUGAGUAACGCGUAUCCAACCUGCUCCCAACUAGCGAAUAACCUUGCGAAAGUAAGACUAAUACCCUAUACUUUCCUCAGAUGACAUCUGACGAGGAAUAAAGAUUUAUCGGUGGUGGAUGGGGAUGCGUCUGAUUAGGUUGUUGGCGGGGUAACGGCCCACCAAGGCAACGAUCAGUAGGGGUUCUGGGAGGAAGGUCACCCACAUUGGAACUGAGACACGGCCCAGACUCCUACGGGAGGAAGCAGUGGGGAAUUUUGGACAAUGGGCGCAAGCCUGAUCCAGCAAUGCCGCGUGCAGGAAGAAGGCCUUCGGGUUGUAAACUGCUUUUGUACGGAGCGAAAAGGCUCUCUCUAAUACAGGGGGCUGAUGACGGUACCGUAAGAAUAAGCACCGGCUAACUACGUGCCAGCAGCCGCGGUAA